rnacentral:rRNA from 1 species
GAAUUCGCCCUUAGAGUUUGAUCCUGGCUCAGGACGAACGCUGGCGGCGUGCUUAACACAUGCAAGUCGAGCGGGGAUGUUCGGAGUGCUUGCACACUGAACAUUUCAGCGGCGGACGGGUGAGUAACGCGUGAACAAUCUGUCCCAUACAGGGGGAUAACAGAUGGAAACAUCUGCUAAUACCGCAUAAGACCACGAAGCCACAUGGCUAUGGGGUAAAAGGAGCAAUCCGGUAUGGGGUGAGUUCGCGUCCGAUUAGCUGGUUGGUGAGGUAACGGCCCACCAAGGCGACGAUCGGUAGCCGACCUGAGAGGGUGAUCGGCCACACUGGAACUGAGAGACGGUCCAGACUCCUACGGGAGGCAGCAGUGGGGAAUAUUGGGCAAUGGGCGAAAGCCUGACCCAGCAACGCCGCGUGAGGGAAGAAGGUUUUCGGAUUGUAAACCUCUGUCCUCAGGGACGAAGGACGUGACGGUACCUGAGGAGGAAGCCCCGGCUAACUACGUGCCAGCAGCCGCGGUAAUACGUAGGGGGCGAGCGUUGUCCGGAAUGACUGGGCGUAAAGGGCGUGUAGGCGGCUUUUUAAGUCUGGAGUGAAAGCCCCUUUUUCAAGGAGGGGAGUGCUUUGGAGACUGGAGAGCUUGAGUGCGGAAGAGGUAAGUGGAAUUCCCAGUGUAGCGGUGAAAUGCGUAGAGAUUGGGAGGAACACCAGUGGCGAAGGCGACUUACUGGGCCGUAACUGACGCUGAGGCGCGAAAGCGUGGGGAGCGAACAGGAUUAGAUACCCUGGUAGUCCACGCUGUAAACGAUGAAUGCUAGGUGUAGCGGGUAUCGACCCCUGCUGUGCCGGAGUAAACACAAUAAGCAUUCCGCCUGGGGAGUACGGCCGCAAGGUUGAAACUCAAAGGAAUUGACGGGGGCCCGCACAAGCAGCGGAGCAUGUGGUUUAAUUCGAAGCAACGCGAAGAACCUUACCUAGACUUGACAUCUCCUGCAUUACUCUUAAUCGAGGAAGUCCCUUCGGGGCAGCGGAGACAGGUGGUGCAUGGUUGUCGUCAGCUCGUGUCGUGAGAUGUUGGGUUAAGUCCCGCAACGAGCGCAACCCUUAUCUUUAGUAGCCAGCAUUUAAGGUGGGGACUCUAGAGAGACUGCCAGGGAUAACCUGGAGGAAGGUGGGGAUGACGUCAAAUCAUCAUGCCCCUUAUGGGCAGGGCUACACACGUGCUACAAUGGCGUAAACAAAGGGAAGCGAUACUGCGAAGUUGAGCAAAUCCCAAAAAUAACGUCUCAGUUCAGAUUGUAGUCUGCAACUCGACUACAUGAAGCUGGAAUCGCUAGUAAUCGCGAAUCAGAAUGUCGCGGUGAAUACGUUCCCGGGUCUUGCACACACCGCCCGUCA